rnacentral:rRNA from 1 species
AAUGAACGCUGGCGGCGUGCCUUACACAUGCAAGUCGAGCGAGGCCGCCCCGCAAGGGGCGAGUCGAGCGGCGAACGGGUGAGUAACGCGUGGAUGACCUGCCCUUUAGUGUGGAAUAACCAGGGGAAACUCUGGCUAAUACCGCAUGAGACCGAGAGGUGAAAGGGGGCUCGCAAGGGCUCUCGCUGAAGGAGGGGUCCGCGUCCGAUUAGCUAGUUGGUAGGGUAAUGGCCUACCAAGGCGACGAUCGGUAGCCGGCCUGAGAGGGUGAUCGGCCACACUGGAACUGAGACACGGUCCAGACUCCUACGGGAGGCAGCAGUGGGGAAUUUUGCGCAAUGGGCUAACGCCUGACGCAGCAACGCCGCGUGGAGGAUGAAGGUCUUUGGAUUGUAAACUCCUGUCAGCGGGGAAAAGGGACCCGACCCAACACGUCGGGGACUUGAUUGUACCCGCAGAGGAAGCCCCGGCUAACUCUGUGCCAGCAGCCGCGGUAAUACAGAGGGGGC